GCUUGCUGCAAGUUGAUGUUUGUAGACUUGAUGCAACUUAUUUUAUGAACUUGCAUUAUAUCUACAAAUGUCAACUUGCAGCAAGC